UUCCUAAAGACCAAGAUAAUGAUGUAACACCACUUCAUCCAAAUACAGCAGCUAGUACAUCAGCAAGUACAUCUGGUGAAGAAUGGAUGACUGUUGCAGAUCCCAAAAGAGCUGUGCGGCUCUUUACCCAAUAGCUGCUGAACUAUAUGCAAAGUUUUGAAAAAAAUCAUUUUACAGUGGACUUGAGGAAAGAUCAGGAAGAACAGGACAUGUCCUAUGUCCGCUUCUACAAGCGCAACAAUGUGGAGUGGGGGUCACCAUUGACAUGCAGACUUGAAGGUGAUGCUGCUGUAGGACUAGGCGUUACCCGACAUGUCACCUUAAUAUUGGAAAUGGCGCAAUCACCAAAGUGUUUGAGGGCCAAACAGACCAUUUGGUACCUGCCAACUCUGCUGUGAUGGUGGAGAGCGAGCUUUUUUUGAUGGCAGGUCGAAUGAUAGGGCAUUGCUUUUUGUAUGGCGGUCCUGGUUUCCCCGGUCUCAGCCCAUCCAUCACACAUGUUCUGCUUGGAGGUUCCCUAGACACUGCCACAGUCAUGAUUGAAGACUGUCCUGAUUUGGAUAUUCGGGAAACAAUUACAGUGUUGGCAGAAAAUUGUGAACUGACAGAUGAGGAACGGGGCCAAGUAGUCAGCCUUUGCAUGCCAUGGGAUCAUCCUUUCCCAACUCCAAGCAACAUGAAGUGACUUCAUGACAAGCUGCUCCUGCAUGCAGU